AUUGAACGCUGGCGGCAGGCCUAACACAUGCAAGUCGAACGAGUGGCGGACGGGUGAGUAAUGUCUGGGAAACUGCCUGAUGGAGGGGGAUAACUACUGGAAACGGUAGCUAAUACCGCAUACCAUCAGAUGUGCCCAGAUGGGAUUGGCUUGUUGGUGGGGUAACGGCUCACCAAGGCGACGAUCCCUAGCUGGUCUGAGAGGAUGACUAGACACACUGGAACUGAGACACGGUCAAGACACCUACGGGAGGCAGCCGUGGGGACUAUUGCACAAUGAGCGCAAUCCUGAUGCAGCCAUGUCGCGUGUAUGAAUAAGGCCUUCGGUUUGUAAAGUACUUUCAGCGGGGAGGCGUUACCCGCAGAAGAAGCACCGGCUAACUCCGUGCCAGCCGCCGCGGUAAUUC
rnacentral:rRNA from 1 species